GUGAGGAAUAUUGGUCAAUGGGCGGGAGCCUGAACCAGCCAAGUCGCGUGAAGGAAGAAGGAUCUAUGGUUCGUAAACUUCUUUUGCAGGGGAAUAAAGUGCAGGACGUGUCCUGUUUUGUAUGUACCCUGAGAAUAAGGAUCGGCUAACUCCGUGCCAGCAGCCGCGGUAAUACGGAGGAUCCGAGCGUUAUCCGGAUUUAUUGGGUUUAAAGGGUGCGUAGGUGGUUUGAUAAGUCAGCGGUGAAAGUUUGCUGCUUAACUGUAAAAAUGCCGUUGAAACUGUCGGACUUGAGUGUAAAUGAGGUAGGCGGAAUGCGUGGUGUAGCGGUGAAAUGCAUAGAUAUCACGCAGAACUCCGAUUGCGAAGGCAGCUUACUAAGCUACAACUGACACUGAAGCACGAAAGCGUGGGGAUCAAACAGGAUUAGAAACCCUUGUAGUCC
rnacentral:rRNA from 1 species